rnacentral:lncRNA from 10 species
UCUUGAUCUCCUGACCUCGUGAUCCACCCGCCUCAGCCUCCCAAAGUGCUGGGAUUACAGGCGUAAGCCACCGCACCCCGCAACCCCUUCCUUCUUUAACUUGGUGUCUGAGGAGUUUUGUCUGGGCUGGUCCUGCUACAUUUCUUGGUUCCCUGACCCAGAAGCGAGGUGAUUGGUGGAUGGUCAAGGCAGCUCCUUAGGCAGCUUCUUAGGCAGCUUAAGCCUGCCCUGUGGAACAUCCCUGCGGGGGACUCCGACCAGACCAGCCCAAGCGACGUGGAUCCUGAGAGCGUUCCUGGGUAGGCAUUUGCCCUGGUGGGACGCCUCGCCAGAGCAAUGUGUGGCAGGUCCCCGUGGGGGAUCAACGCAGUGGCUGAACACCAGGAAGGAAUGGGCACUUGGAGUCUGGACACCUAAAACUUGAGCAUCCCUGCAGGGGACUCUGGCCAGCUUGAGCAACACGGAUCCUAAGAGCGCUCCCGGGUAGGCAUUUGCCCCGGUUGAACACCUCACCAGAGCAGCGCACAGCAGGCCCCCGCGGAGGAUCAACGCAGUGGCUGAACACCGGGAAGGAACUGGCACUUUAAGUCUGGACAUCUGAAACUUGUUGCAGGUGUUGUGUCUUGGAUCCAUCACAGUCAGCUAACACUGGCAGCUCAGGACAAGUGGACCAGCCAGCAGGAUGCAGAUCACCCAACCUGGCUGAUCCUGAGACGAGACCAAGCUGCUGCUGAGGACGACAGCCCUGCUCUGGUCACUCCGGAGGCUGACCAGUCUACGCACGGCCGAAGCUUGAGGACUCAUCGAGCAAGUAAAUGUAGUUAAAAAUCUUAAGACUAAUAGUUUUCCUGUAAUACUAACUGUUUUCCUAUUGUUCGGUCGCUGUAUUCAACCUUUUUCCCAGGUAAGGACCUCUUUUGUCCUUGCUGGAUACGAAUAUGCUGUACAUUGUUUUGUUGUUGUUAACCCCCAUAACCAUGUUAGAAGAAACACCUAUAUAAGGUGUCCCCACUGUACACAUACUACUUAGGAAACCCAGACCUGUCCAGCCCAGUAACAAUUCUGAGUCUUUCAGUCAUUCUUUAAACAUAUAAACCAGAAGUUACCAGAACCUCCUCCUUUAGCAAAAACAGAAAAAACCUAUUUGCUCAGCUGGCUGAAAACAUUGCUAGCUGCCUAGAUGUUUCUUCAUGUUAUGUUUAUAAAAAGGCUAACAUAAGAGACCAAUGGCCUUGAGAAGCAAAAGAGUUAAUGCCUCAAGAUAACUUUAACUAGCUCUUUCCCCAAACAGAUGCCACAAGUUCAAGCAUCUGGCUCUUAAAACUUCUAUUAUUAAAAAAUACCAUGUUACUCACUAGGAAAAAGCUUUUAAGACACAGUAAAAAGAACUAACCUGCUUAAGGCAUGACAAAGUUGGUACAUGUGCAUAUACAGGUUUAACACAGGUCUGAUCCUAGGUGUUCAUUUAGAACAUAGUUUCCAGCUGUAAGAAAAUUUAAAACCCUCAUUGUAAGUGUAUUACUAGUAAUAGGAACUUGCUUGCUGCUCCCCUGUAUAUUAUAUUUGCUCCUUCAAAUGAUAAAAGGUUUUGUAGCUACCAUGGUUCAGCAGAAAACUUCAACACAAGUAUAUUACAUAAAAUACUAUCACUCUGUCUCACAAAAAGACUCAAAAAGUAAAAAUAAAAGAACUCCCACUGAUUAGUGAAAAUUCUCAAAGGGGGAGAUAAGGAAGGAGACCACUACUACUCCUGCUGCCCUCCUCUCCCCACCUUGCCUAGUUCGCAAGACAGGAGGAGAGAAAAACAAAAAGUUGGAAAAAAAACAAAAGUAAGAUAAACAGCCAGACAACCUUGGCACCACCACCCGGCCUUAGGAGUUAAAAAAAGUAAUAAUGAUAACCUCAACCCCUGACCUAAACUACUUGUGUUGUCUGUAAAUUUCAGACACUGUAUGAAAAAAAGCAUUGUAAAACUUUUUGUUCUGUUAGCUGAUGCAUAUAGCCCCCAGUCAUGUUUCCCAUGCUUGCUUGAUGUACCACGACCCUUACACGUGGACCCCUUAAAGUUGUAAACCUUUAAAAAGGCCAAGAAUUUCUUUUUCGGGGAGCUCGGCUCUUAAGACACGAGUCUGACAAUGCUCCUGGCCGAAUAAAAACCUCUUCCUUCUUUAAUUCAGUGUCUGAGGAGUUUUGUCUGUGGCUCGUCCUGCUACAAUAAAAGGUUAAAAAGAGUCUAUAAAAUCUUACCUUAUGGUCAAACAUUAAAAAUUAGAUAAAUAUGUCUACAAGGUUUUAUUAAAAUUAAGUUUAACAUUAAUAACACACUAAUAUAAAAAUAAAAUUUAGCUUAUCUGGUAUAAAAAUCACACGAGAAGCACUGUUAAGUGUAAAAUGGUAUUUGGCUUUCUUUGGUUUAAAAAGUAAUAAACAUUUUUCUCAGUAAAAAGGCACUAAGGAAUAUAAAGUCCACUGCCAAGGUCCC